CCAGCCGCUCAGAAACUUAAAUGAAUUGACGGGACCGCACAAGCGGUGGAUGAUGUGGAUUAAUUCGAUGCAAACGCGAAAAACCUUACCUAACCCUUGACAUGCCAGGAACUUUCCAGAGAUGGAUUGGUGGCCCGAAAGGGAGCCUGGACACAGGUGCUGCAUGGCUGUCGUCAGCUCGUGUCGUGAGAUGUUCGGUUAAGUCCGCUAACGAGCGCAACCCUCGCCGUAUGUUACAAGUGUCAUACGGGACUGGCCGGUAAAAAGCCGGAGGAAGGUGAGGAUGAUGUCAAGUCAGCAUGACCUUUAUAUCCAGGGCUACACACACGCUACAAUGGUCUGUACAAUUGGUUGCCAAGCCGCGAGGCGGAGCCAAUCCUGAAAGCAGGCCUCAGUUCAGAUUGCAGUCUGCAACUCGACUGCAUGAAGCCGGAGUUGCUAGUAACCGCAGGUCAGCAAUACUGCGGUGAAUACGUUCCCGGGUCUU
rnacentral:rRNA from 1 species